UUUGAGGAUAUACCUCAGUUCUUUACUUGGAAUCCGGAAGAAAAAUGUUGGAUCAGAAGGAGGGUAAUAUCGAAUACGUCUUAUAUUCCAAAUUUGAUGACAUUUAAGGGUGUGGUCUGUGACUCUUACAAGGAAGCCUGUUUGACUAAAGGAUUACUAGAAAAAUGAUUUUUUAAUAUGUUUGAAGAUUUUAUAAAAUAUUUCUUUCAGUUUGUUGCUUAUCUACGUUUUCAAUUUUAAGUAUUUUUAUUUA